CUUCCCGCUGUGUUGUGUCCUGCCCUUCACUCCAUGGAGCUUAUUCUUCUACAAGCUGUUCUGUUUAUUCCUUGUCUCGCUCCACAGCGUCAGCUCUGUGGGAGCAGCAGGAUCGUUUUUUUUUAAAGUGUGGUGGUUUUCUGUCUUACUCUCCUCUUGAAUGUCAAGGACUGUGAGGUGUUGUGGCUGGAUCCCUGCCCUCAGCCCAGGCCUGGAACAGAGCACAUGCGCUCUCAGCAUUUGGGGAAGAACCAGCAAUGAACAGAAGUUCAAGGGACCUUAUAUCACCCUCACCUCAUAUGGAACUCCAGUGGUCUGGAUGUAUCCGUGUCUCACACCCCUGAAACACAGCGCCUCCACACGGACACCAUCCUUUCUACUUCCGAGCCCGAGGAGAACAGAAGGGACUCCUGGCGCCCCUCGAAUAGAGGCAGCCGGACCCGCAGGAAAUCCGUCUGCUGAGUCCUGAGCACGUCACCGGGAACCGUGGCCGCCUGGGAGCAGCCUCAGCGCCGUUCCCCCAAGGUGGCAAGGAAGCGCUUCCGGGCGCCCUUUGGGGAGGAGGACGGGCGGCCCGUGGCCCCUUCCGGUGCCUCCUGUUCUGGACACCAGGGCCGGCCGUCUCCGGGGAGAGGGCACACGUUUGUGAAUCGGGACUAUCGGGGUCCAUGGUGGAGGCUGGGAAGACUGGACAUGUCUGCGUGCGUCCGUGUGGUCCGCACCUCCGGGCGAGUGGGAAACAUGGAGAAGGUGUAACCCCGCGGACGCCGGCGCCGUGACCUUUCCUGCUCGUGCUCAGCUGCCCCAGCGGUGCCCGGGGGCAGAAGGGGCCUCGCGGCGCUCUGGUCCACCCGGCCGGGCAGCGACACCGACCGCCGCCGCCCGCCCAGGCCGCGGACCUGCAGCUCGAAUCUCCGGCGACAGCAGGCUCUUCCCGGGUCUCAUGGCACCGGGAGCGUUGCCGCUGUCACCCCCGGCCUCUGGAGCUCUGCCCCGGGCUCGGCGGCCGAACCUUCGCGGGAGUCGCCAACGUUCCCCGGGAAGGGACCGGCUCACGGCGUCCUUUGGGUGGCUCCCAACGGGCGGCGCACACGGCCCCGGGCGGACCCCGACCGCCGGGCCGCCCUGACGCCCCGCUUGUCCUGGGCGUCCGCCUGGGAGCCGGCUCCCGGCCCGGCAGGGCGCGGAGACCCAGACACCAGACGGGAGGGCGGGAGCUGGGAAGACCUCCCCGGGCAGCUGCGGGAGAAGGCGCGGUCCUCAGCGAUUCCCGAGGCUCGAGGCUCGGACCCAGGCGGCCCAGAGGGCAGGUCCCUGCUCCCAGGCGGACUUAGGAAUUUAGUGAAACUUAGAUUGUGUGGACUGUAAAACUGAAACCAUGAAAGGACUGGGUAAAAACAUAUAUGAAUGAUUUUUAUUCUGUGGAGUAGAAAGAUUGGAAUCAUGAUACAACAUUAAAAAAAAAAGAAGUCUCUUCAGAAGCCAUCAAAUAAAUGAAUGAUAAACAGUCA
rnacentral:lncRNA from 1 species